GUGGGGAAUCUUGCGCAAUGGGCGAAAGCCUGACGCAGCCAUGCCGCGUGAAUGAUGAAGGUCUUAGGAUUGUAUAAUUCUUUCACCGGGGACGAUAAUGACGGUACCCGGAGAAGAAGCUCCGGCUAACUUCGUGCCAGCAGCCGCGGUAAUACGAAGGGGGCUAGCGUUGCUCGGAAUUACUGGGCGUAAAGGGCGCGUAGGCGGACAGCUUAGUCAGAGGUGAAAGCCCAGGGCUCAACCUUGGAAUGGCCUUUGAUACUGGCUGUCUUGAGUUUGGGAGAAGGGAGUGGAACUCCGAGUGUAGAGGUGAAAUUCGUAGAUAUUCGGAAGAACACCAGUGGAGGAGGCGACUCACUGGCCCAAUACUGACGCUGAGGCGCGAAAGCGUGGGGAGCAAACAGGAUUAGAUACCCGUGUAGUCC
rnacentral:rRNA from 1 species